rnacentral:rRNA from 1 species
AGAGUUUGAUCAUGGCUCAGAAUGAACGUUGGCGGCGUGGAUUAGGCAUGCAAGUCGAGCGCGAACCCCGCAAGGGGGGAGAGCGGCAAACGGGGUAGUAACGGGUAGGUGACGUACCCUCGGGUCGGGGAUAGCCACGGGAAACUGUGGGUAAUACCCGAUAAUCUCUCGAAGCGUGAUGGUUUCGGGAGCAAAGGUGUGAUUCCACCGGAGGAGCGGCCUGCUUCGUAUUAGCUUGUUGGUGAGGUAACGGCUCACCAAGGCAUCGAUGCGUAGGGGGUGUGAGAGCAUGACCCCCACCACUGGGACUGAGAUACUGCCCAGACACCUACGGGUGGCUGCAGUCGAGAAUCUUCGGCAAUGGGCGCAAGCCUGACCGAGCGACGCCGCGUGUGGGAUGAAGGCCCUUGGGUUGUAAACCACUGUCAGAGGGGAUGAAGUGCCAGAGGGCAAUCUCUCUGGUUUGACAUAGCCUCAGAGGAAGCACGGGCUAAGUUCGUGCCAGCAGCCGCGGUAAUAC